rnacentral:rRNA from 1 species
CGCUUAGGCGUGUGACUGCGUACCUUUUGUAUAAUGGGUCAGCGACUUAUAUUCUGUAGCAAGGUUAACCGAAUAGGGGAGCCGAAGGGAAACCGAGUCUUAACUGGGCGUUAAGUUGCAGGGUAUAGACCCGAAACCCGGUGAUCUAGCCAUGGGCAGGUUGAAGGUUGGGUAACACUAACUGGAGGACCGAACCGACUAAUGUUGAAAAAUUAGCGGAUGACUUGUGGCUGGGGGUGAAAGGCCAAUCAAACCGGGAGAUAGCUGGUUCUCCCCGAAAGCUAUUUAGGUAGCGCCUCGUGAAUUCAUCUCCGGGGGUAGAGCACUGUUUCGGCAAGGGGGUCAUCCCGACUUACCAACCCGAUGCAAACUGCGAAUACCGGAGAAUGUUAUCACGGGAGACACACGGCGGGUGCUAACGUCCGUCGUGAAGAGGGAAACAACCCAGACCGCCAGCUAAGGUCCCAAAGUCAUGGUUAAGUGGGAAACGAUGUGGGAAGGCCCAGACAGCCAGGAUGUUGGCUUAGAAGCAGCCAUCAUUUAAAGAAAGCGUAAUAGCUCACUGGUCGAGUCGGCCUGCGCGGAAGAUGUAACGGGGCUAAACCAUGCACCGAAGCUGCGGCAGCGACGCUUAUGCGUUGUUGGGUAGGGGAGCGUUCUGUAAGCCUGUGAAGGUGUGCUGUGAGGCAUGCUGGAGGUAUCAGAAGUGCGAAUGCUGACAUAAGUAACGAUAAAGCGGGUGAAAAGCCCGCUCGCCGGAAGACCAAGGGUUCCUGUCCAACGUUAAUCGGGGCAGGGUGAGUCGACCCCUAAGGCGAGGCCGAAAGGCGUAGUCGAUGGGAAACAGGUUAAUAUUCCUGUACUUGGUGUUACUGCGAAGGGGGGACGGAGAAGGCUAUGUUGGCCGGGCGACGGUUGUCCCGGUUUAAGCGUGUAGGCUGGUUUUCCAGGCAAAUCCGGAAAAUCAAGGCUGAGGCGUGAUGACGAGGCACUACGGUGCUGAAGCAACAAAUGCCCUGCUUCCAGGAAAAGCCUCUAAGCAUCAGGUAACAUCAAAUCGUACCCCAAACCGACACAGGUGGUCAGGUAGAGAAUACCAAGGCGCUUGAGAGAACUCGGGUGAAGGAACUAGGCAAAAUGGUGCCGUAACUUCGGGAGAAGGCACGCUGAUAUGUAGGUGAAGUCCCUUGCGGAUGGAGCUGAAAUCAGUCGAAGAUACCAGCUGGCUGCAACUGUUUAUUAAAAACACAGCACUGUGCAAACACGAAAGUGGACGUAUACGGUGUGACGCCUGCCCGGUGCCGGAAGGUUAAUUGAUGGGGUCAGCGCAAGCGAAGCUCUUGAUCGAAGCCCCGGUAAACGGCGGCCGUAACUAUAACGGUCCUAAGGUAGCGAAAUUCCUUGUCGGGUAAGUUCCGACCUGCACGAAUGGCGUAAUGAUGGCCAGGCUGUCUCCACCCGAGACUCAGUGAAAUUGAACUCGCUGUGAAGAUGCAGUGUACCCGCGGCAAGACGGAAAGACCCCGUGAACCUUUACUAUAGCUUGACACUGAACAUUGAGCCUUGAUGUGUAGGAUAGGUGGGAGGCUUUGAAGUGUGGACGCCAGUCUGCAUGGAGCCGACCUUGAAAUACCACCCUUUAAUGUUUGAUGUUCUAACGUGGACCCGU